rnacentral:lncRNA from 1 species
AAAAGGCAGAAGCAUGUGGACAGCAGCUCCUCAUGAUUACUUCAUUCGGGGAGGCAGCAUGCUGUGCUGAAAAGUGUUCUGGCUUUGGUGGCAAAGAGAUCAGCUUUGCCAUUUACCAACUGCUUGAUGUGGGACACAUUUCAUCUCUCAAAGACCCAGUUUCCAUGCAUUUGAAAUAAGGAUACAAUAUUUACUUCAGAAAGCUGUUAUGAAGAGUAAAUGCAGAUGUGAAAUUUACAGAUAUUUCCACCUCAUCUGCUCCAGCCAGUACUGCAGUGGGAAGGUCAUGCACUGCACAGUGAUUGCCAGUAGAUGGCGCAAUGGGCCUGCCGCCAUCCCAGGCUUUGUUUCUGAACCCAGCGGGAGAGGGAGAUGACAGAAAUCUUUAUUGCAAACUGGGGGACACCAUUAGCUACAGUGGCCUCCUGGGAUCACCAUUUGCAAUAUAAGCCCAGUGACUUAAAGGAGAGAGUGGAGAGGAAUCAUGGUAAGGCUUGUAACUCCAAGGAUGAAGAACAACCAGGGCUUGGGGAUGGGUGAAGAAUCUUCUGAAGAAGUGACCUGGCUACUCUUAUAAAGGUCUGUGCUUCCGCCUGCACGGUCAUCACUGCUGUUGACAUAAAAUACAGAAUUUAUCAUGAGCCAUUCCCUGCUUAAACACCUACUAUGGUGCCCCAUUCGAAUCCAAGCAGGGUGUUUAAGGUGCUUCAGACUCUGUCUUGAUCCUCCUCUUGCAGAUUACUCCCUGCCACUACCCUAUGGGGAGUCUCUUGCCACAUCCUCCAUGCUCUAAAUCUCUAUGGCUUUGGCUCAUCCAGGGUGAUGUGACUGUUGCUUCCUCUGCCUGGCUUGUCCUCUUCUCUCUGUUAACUCCUGCUCUUUGUCAAGAUCUAGCUCAGAUUAUUAUUUCCUCUCUGAAGACUCUUCUUGGUAAAGUUGCUCGCUCUGCACUGCUUCCUCAGAUCUUUGUGCACUUGUUACGUGCUUUUUAAUUUGUUUUAUGGCUCUAUCUCCCUAACUAGACUGAAAGCACUUGAGGAUGGUGACCUUUUCAUAGUCUUUUUGUUAUUUGGGCACUUAACACAUAGCAGCUGCCCCAUGAUUGCUGGUCCCUUUUCUUUCUCUCCUCGCCAACCACCCACCCUGUUGUCAGACUGAAAUAAGCCCAAAAGUCCAUGGAAGUUGGACAGCUGUAUUGACAACUGAGCUAUGUCCAGGAUCAAGCUAUCUCUUCUUAACUGCUUAGCAUGCUUCUAAGCAUGGUUCAGGGAAGCCAGGACAACAGAAGAGUUCAGAUAAGGUGGCCAAAAGUCCUGGAAUAGUCAAAACAAUUCCUGCUUCCCUGUGGUUAUCCUAAGGAAGACCAAUGUGUCAUUUUCCCCUGGGAGCAUCUCAGGGGCUGGCUUUUACUUGUUUCAGGAACAACUUUGCACACAUGACCACAGCCAUUGCUUUGGCAUCUCUUUCCCCUAGACAGGAUUUGUUUCCUGGGCACAUGUUGACACAAAUACCAUAGGUUCCUUUUGGCAGGUCCAGGUGCCUACCUAUUUCAAAAGGUUGUUUUAGGAAUGAAACUGGAUACUGUUCAAGUUCCAACCACAUUGUGACCUCAUCCACUACUACCCACCUACCAGGUCCUCACAUGUGAACUCUCCCUGCACUCAUGAUUGCCCUGCCACACGAGUGUUGGUUGGAGUAUUGUUUAGAAGCAAAUCAGCCUUCAAUGUGUACCAUGGGCAGCUAUUAGGCAUGAAAAUCUGCCAGCUGCCCUAUAAUUUCUAUGAACAAAGGGAUCCCUACAACAAGGGAAAGCUGGAUUCCCACAGAAAGAGACUAGGCAAAGGCAUUUGGUCCAUUUGUAUUGUAAGGCCUAAAACUUCAAGAGCUGCCUUAAAGUGCUUUCAAGUUCUCACAGGGUCCAAAGGUCUAACCCUGAGUUCUCCUGCUCUUUGAAUGUGCUCCCCCCUCCACCACCCAGUGGGAGAGGCUCCCCACCUGGCUAGUUCCUCUAUUAUCAGAUCAGCUGCACCCACCCAGUUCUUAACCUAUGAGUCUCAAGUCCCUGUCAGCCCACAAAAAAAGCUAAUCACAUCUUCCUGCAGGAGUACUUUUAAUGGCAAAAACCACGAUUACCCUUGCACCAUCCUAAUGCAAAGCCUGCCUUCCACAGCCUCUGCUGGUUCACCCUGCUCCCAAGUGGAACCUCUGUGGGUCACUGCAUGGCAUGCAGUAUCCUCCUCCCUCAGGCUGUGAGUAUAGGUGACACUAAUUCUAUGUGCUAUUCAUCUCAUCUCUUCAGUGUCAGGUGUCAUGGGUUCAGCCAUCUCACACUAUUUAAAGUGGGGGACCCGUCCUUCACUGAUGGAGUGGACAGGUGAUCAGAGAACCAUCCCACCAAGAGAAAGACCCUCUUGAGGCCCUCCAUCUCUGCAUGUCAGGUUCACAGCUGUGAGACAGAGCAUAGAACCUGUGUCAGGUCACAGGAGAGUGAUCCCCCAACACUUUGGGCCAUGUUCCAACCCUGCCUGCCCCAAUUCCCAUUGUGUAAAAUCCAUCUGCAACCUAUGCCAGCCUUCCAGAAUGCAGAGGGACCCUGGGAAGAGCUGGAGAAGAGAAGAGGAAGAAGGAUGGGAGACGGAAGAUUCUCAGUUGGAAAAAAAAACAGCAGCAAGAAACUUUGUUUACCUUGUUGGUCAGAUUAAAUUUCUGCCACCAAAAGAAAUCGAGAUUGAAAAGCUAAGUUUAAUUAUGGAGAAAAUAAAGUUACAUUUUUUUUUGCACAACAAAGUCAUUGACUAUGAAAUUUAUAAGCAUCAUAUGAAACAGACAAUCUUAUGAAACUUACCAAGGAUGUUUCCAGCAACCCCUUGUUUAGGGAACAGAGUAAAGGGGAGAAAAGGUAGCAUUUUCAAAUCUCAAGAAAGUGUUUUAUGUCAGAAUUCAAUUUGUCCCAGAGCACAGCUGUCAAGAGCUUUGUAAAUCUAGGCCUCUAGGAGGAGAGGGCUAAAGCACUUUCAGGAUAAAGGCUAGAAGCCUAAGGCCCUGAUCAUUUGGGCAAUCCUUGUUAUUGCAUUUGUUGUUCCAUUCUCUGACACUUCUAAAAGGCUGUGGAAUCUCCAGAUGUGUUCAUAAAAUAGUGGUAGCAAUUAUUCAUUGCUUCUAGGAAAGGGAAAUGGAUAUGUUACCAACAAAGCCAGUCCCCAUACAAAUGGAGUCUUUCCCCGUUUAGUGCUGUGAAGCCAAUAUACAAAACCAAAAGUGAGUGUCAAGUAGUGCAGGCUUUAUUCCAUGGCCACUGUAUUAGUCAGGGUUCUCUUAGAGGGACAGAACUAAUAGGAUAGAUGAUAGAUAGAUGAUAGAUAGAGAGAUAGAUAGAUAGAGAGAUAGACAGAUAUAAAGGGAAUUUAUUAAGUAUCAACUUACAUGAUCACGAGGUCCCACAAUAGGCUGUCUGCAAGCUGAGGAGCAAGAAGGGCCAGUCCAAGUCCCCAGACUGAAGAACUUGGAGUCCGAUGUUCAAAGGCAGGAAGCAUCCAGCAUGGGAGAAAGAUGUAGGCUGUGAGGCUAGGUCCAUCUCUCCUUUUCACGUUUUUCUGCCUGCUUUAUAUUCACUGGCAGCUGAUUAGAUUGUACCCACCAGAUUAAGGGUGGAUCUGCCUUCCCCAGUGCACUGACUCAAGUGUUAAUUUCUUUUGGCAACACCCACAGGCACACCCAGGAUUAAUACUUUGUAACCCUCAAUCCAAUCAAGUUGACACUCAGUAUUAACCAUCACAAGUCCACCCCUUGUCAACCUGAACCCAUACACAUCUCCUGAGAUCAUACAUAAUCUUCAAAUAAAGACAAUAAUGAGGUCAUAAU